rnacentral:piRNA from 1 species
UAGGUCAUCAUUUUCUUACAAAAAAUAAGA